AUGUAGGGCAAUCUAUCUUUAAGUAGGGAUAAUUUAAUCUAAAAGAAAUGAAUCCUAGAUCGUUUUCCCUUCAAGGCAAGCGUCUUGU
rnacentral:pre_miRNA from 1 species